GCUUGGUAAAGACAAGACAAUCUGUGGUUCAUCAAGACAAUCAGAACGACGGGAGCAUGGCGCCGCCCAAGUCCUCCCAGUCAAACUACAGCACAAAGCUGAAAGACAGCCCAGCAGAAAACCUGGAGUCUGUUUACGAGGACCCCGACGCUCUGAGGCCAUCCAAACUCUCCCAGUCAAACUACAGCUCAGCAGAAAACCUGGAGUCUGUUUAUGAGGACCCCGACGCUCUGAGGGACUACCAGGCUGACAGGCUCCCUACAGACUGUCAGAGGCCUCGCCCUGUCCGUCCUCCUCCCAGACCACCAGCCAGCAUGAAGCCCAAAGCAGGCGUCGGAGCACACAGUAAUUACAGGAGGAC
ensembl:lncRNA